UACGAAGGUUGCGAGCGUUGUUCGGAAUCACUGGGCUUAAAGAGCACGUAGGCGGCCCAUCAAGUGCCUUGUGAAAUCCCACGGCUCAACCGUGGAGCUGCUUGGCAUACUGUUGGGCUUGAGGCAGGUAGAGGCGCGUGGAACUCUUGGUGGAGCGGUGGAAUGCGUAGAUAUCAAGAGGAACGCCGGAGGCGAAAGCGAUGCGCUGGGCCUGUCCUGACGCUGAGGUGCGAAAGCCAGGGGAGCAAACGGG
rnacentral:rRNA from 1 species